rnacentral:rRNA from 1 species
GACGAACGCUGGCGGCGUGCUUAACACAUGCAAGUCGAACGGAAAGGCCCUGCUUUUGUGGGGUGCUCGAGUGGCGAACGGGUGAGUAACACGUGAGUAACCUGCCCUUGACUUUGGGAUAACUUCAAGAAACUGGGGCUAAUACCGGAUAGGAGCUCCUGCUGCAUGGUGGGGGUUGGAAAGUUUCGGCGGUUGGGGAUGGACUCGCGGCUUAUCAGCUUGUUGGUGGGGUAGUGGCUUACCAAGGCUUUGACGGGUAGCCGGCCUGAGAGGGUGACCGGCCACAUUGGGACUGAGAUACGGCCCAGACUCCUACGGGAGGCAGCAGUGGGGAAUAUUGCACAAUGGGCGGAAGCCUGAUGCAGCAACGCCGCGUGCGGGAUGACGGCCUUCGGGUUGUAAACCGCUUACGCCUGUGACGAAGCGUGAGUGACGGUAAUGGGUAAAGAAGCACCGGCUAACUACGUG